UUCUUCUCAUGAGCUCCUCUCUGUCUGACCAGUGACGGUGCACGGAUUCGCACGAGAAGUAGAGUAACGGUCACAGUGUAAAGGGUGGCUCCUCUGUAGGGGUCGCCUGUACCCAGUGAGACACUC
rnacentral:snoRNA from 1 species